CUCUGCUCUUACCGGGAGGAGCACCAGGCGGUAUUAAAGGUAGGCUCGAGCGGUUCUCCAGGCCAGCUCCGCGCGCCGGCCGAUUUUCCCCGUGCGCCCCGGCCAGCGAUUUCCACCACGGAUGCCCGUGCCGCUUAUUCCGCGCGGCGGUGGAGAUUGAGGACAGCAUCGCGCGCCGUAGAGGAGGAGCAGGGCCGGCAACCAGUCCCUCGGCCGGAUGAGUUCUGGGCUGCCAGGGCCACUCCACGCGGUGGCUGGGCGCGGGGAUGGUUGUGUUGGUGGUCAACGGUGCGUUAGCGUGGCUGGAGCACGAGUGCCCGCCCUGUCCCUCCAUGGGUAGUCUGCUUCCUUUCCCGGCCACCCCGUGCGCCAUGCCUCCGACCGUCCAGCGCCGCCCCGCACGUGUAGUCUGCUCCGAUGCGGUCGGCCGCCGGGAUGGUUGGGUUGUAGCCGCGCAUGACGCGCACGGCACGGCUGGGGUUCAUGGCGGCGGCGGAGCGAGCCAACACUGGUUGACAUGGAGAGGGCCGUGCUUAAGAACGCAGCGGAGAGAAUCGCGACGGCCAGCUUCGGCAUCAAAUUGGGUCUUUUCUUAUCGAUCUGCACUUGUUUCUCCUCUUUAAUUUCUGGUGGAUUUGCUUCACCGUCUGAGGGAAUCAGGCCCUUGUUGAUUUUUCUUGUACAUGGUGUUCUCCCGAUCUAGAUUCAGUUUGCUAAUUGAAUUCCUGGCGGAAGUGUGUUUCCGAUUCAGUGGCGCACUGGCCGGCCAAGCGAUGUCAAGGCGCGAGCAGCCAUGGACAUGGGGAUGGCGAAGCCUGCUGCCGCCCAAUGACAGAUUGCAGAGGCGAUGGCGGCAGCUGACAGCUUGCGGCGGCGGCGGACGGAGGGCGGCUCGGGACGGCGACGGCUGACGUCUUGGGACGGUGGCCGGCGUGCGACGGAAGCGAGAGGACAGCUUGCGGCAGCGACCAGCCACAACUACAGCGGACGACUAGCCAAACAAAGGAUUUCAACCGGAAUCAACCACGUUAUUAGAUUAAGGAGCGACAGAAACAAACAUGAUUUAAUGGAAUCAUUUAACAGCGCUAUCAGGUUAUUAGCUAAAACAGGUGGCACAGUGCUUUUUUCUGUCGACAUGAACGGCCCACGGUGUUUAUUUUUGUUAAUAGGUGUCGGUUAAUAACUUAAGAUGCCCUUAAUUUUUU